CAGACAACCUACUCCUCCUCCUCUACUCCACCUCCUCCCGUGCCUCCCCCUCCUCCUCCUCCCUCUCCUCCACCUCCUCCACCUCCUCCCGUGCCUCCCCCUCCUCCUCCUCCCUCUCCUCCACCUCCUCCACCUCCUCCCGUGCCUCCCCCUCCUCCUCCACCUCCUCCCUCUCCUCCACCUCCUCCCUCUCCUCCACCUCCUCCCGUGCCUCCCCCUCCUCCUCCUCCCUCUCCGCCACCUCCUCCCGUGCCUCCCCCUCCUACCCACUCCUCCUCCUUCCUCUUCCUCCUGUUCCUCCUUGCGCUCCUCCUUCCUCGCCUCCUCCCCCUCCUCCCCCUACUCCCCCUCCCUCUCUCCUCUUCCUCCUUCCACUCCUCCUCCUUCCCCUACUCCCCCUACUCCCUCUUCUCCACCUCCUCCUCCUCUUCCCUCUCCUCCUCUCCUGCCCCUUUUCCUCUCCUCCACCUCCUCUUCCCCCCCUCCUCCUCCCUCUCCUCCCCCUGCUCCUCCUCCUCCCCCUCCUCCCCCCUCCUCCUCCCCCCACUCCUCCCCCUCCUCCUCCUCCUCCUCACUCUCCCCCUCCUCCCCCCACUCCUCCACUUCCACCUCCUCCUCCUCCUCCCUCUACUCCUCCUCCUCCUCCCCCCACUCCUCCUCCCCCUCCUCCCCCUCUCCUCCUCCCUCUCCUCCCCCUCCUCCUCCCCCCACUCCUCCCCCUCCUCCUCCUCCUCCUCCUCCUCCUCCCCUUCCUCCCCCCACUCCUCCUCCUCCUCCUCCUCCUCCCCCCACUCCUCCUCCCCCUCCUCCCCCCCCUCCUCCCACCACUCCUCCCCCUCCUCCCCCCACUCCUCCCCCUCCUCCUCCCUCUCCUCCCCCUCCUCCCCCCUCUCCUCCUCCCUCUCCUCCCCCUCCUCCUCCCUCUCCUCCUCCCCCUCCUCCUCCCUCUCCUCCUCCCUCUCCUCCCCCUACUCCUCCCCCCACUCCUCCUCCUCCCUCUCCUCCCCCUGAUCCCACCCAGCUCCACUCUGGUUGAUGUGGGGGUCCUCCUCUGCAGUUUUGGGGGCUGUGUGAGCGCACUGG
rnacentral:lncRNA from 1 species